CGGAUCGGGUCGAAACCCGAAAGGAAUCGGGUCGGGUCAUCUGCUCGACGGCUUCCUUCCGCCGGGCCAAGAGAGGGGCUCUCCCAGGACUCGGAUAAUCCGACGGGCGGACUCGGCGGCGUCGCGCUUCGACCUCGCUUUCGUCUCUUCCAAUCCGCGCAGUUGGCCCACAUGAAGGCAUAGCUUCGGCCCGAGCACGAUCGACUCGCCUCCGUGGCGAUUCCGAAGCCUCUCUUCCCGCCCGGUUUGGUGUCCAUGGAUAUUUCUUUUGUUAACCAGUCAUAUCGUAUGAUAGCGACUUAAGAGUAGAAUUGUUUUUGCUUAAAAGGAUUUGAUAAAGUGAUAGAGAAAGGAGAAGCAAAGGUUAAUAUCUAGGAUAAUAUCCGAAAUCAAUUUGAUCCCAAGGUAUCUCAUGUGAGGUAGUAUUCUGCAUCACACUAAAUGUGUUUCAUACAUCGUUCUAAAAAGUAUUCUUAUGGAUGUAGCAUAAUACUACUCACACAUAUUUGUGGAUAAAAGAAAUUUUAUUUAUUUAACCAUGUUUGUUAUUAUAAACCUUUCCUGUUUUAUAGACCCCAAUUACAAGAAAAAUAGAAAGAAGAAAAACUAACAGGAUAAGAUAAAAUAAAACUAAGAAAAUUAUAUCCCCUGGUAAAGAUACCUUUCAAGAGUAAUCAAUCUUCCUUUUAUCUUCGGUAAAGAUACUUUUCUAAAUUUGUGUGUUAAAUAAUUUUUUACUUUUAGAAUUAUAUGAUUGAUUUUGACUUUCUUGUUGAUAUAAUCUUCAAUCAUGCCUUUACUCUUUGGAUAUAAUCUUUAAUCAAGCUCAAAUUUCAUCUUUUCUUUAAUUUUGGUUUGGUUUUUUUCUCCUUGGGCAAUCAAGGUAGGUAAAAUAGAGAUCCAUAAGUUGUGAUGUGCAAACUUAUUACAUUUACAAAUAUCCUUCUAAAGUACCAAAGAUAAACUAAACAAAAUAACUUCUGGAUCAACCAUGGAUCCACCUUUUCUUUAUAUUUUUAAACAAGAAUAUCAACAGGAUUUUAUAUGAAUUUUUUUAUGGAUAAAUGUAGAUAAAAUGGCUCAUAGGUGAUCACUGAUAGCAAAGGAAAUUGAAAAUCUGCAUCUACUGGCUUGUUUAUUUAUUUAUUUAAGCUGAUUAUUUAUUUUUAAACUGGAACUCCCAUGAGAUCUCUGAUAUGUAUCACCUUUACACGUGAACUUAAGACAUUUUAGAGGACUAGAUGAUUUGGCUGAGCUUUGGUUGAUACAAAGACAAAAUCAGAAAAAAACGAAUAAUAAAAUGGAUGGAUAUCCUUAUCCAUCUUGGGGUCCAAAUUUGUCUAGCUGAUUAGGCAUCAAGCAGAGAUUUAUGUCAACCAAAUACGAAUUGUAAUCCAAUAAUGAUUUGGCAAGGUUCUAUAUAUGUCAAUUUACUAUGUUUAAUAGGAUAAUUUCAUGUAGGCUGCUGCCGUUGAUUGGUUAUCACAUAGCCAACCUUCUCUCUUUGUUAAGAAUGGUUCUCUUUAGCACUAGAGACAUGCCUGACUUCCAUGUUGCACAAUUGUAAGCUUUUUUCUUAACCACUACCAUCCUAUAACCAGAGAAAAGCAAAACAGAAGAUAGAAGAAACCAGAUCUUUGUUCCCUACCUGAGGCCUCAGAGCUAUCACUGCCUUCCCAUUUCCAUCCAUGAGCAGGAGCUCUCCUUCAAAGCACUUGUGCUUCCUUGAAUAAUUGUCGACCCGAAAGGCUAAUCUUCCCUUGUUAUCAUAAAUUGAGAAUCCAUCUGUUCCAUGGAAAGCCAUGCUUGACUUCUUCCAAACUGUCCACACUGAUGGAUAGUUUGUCACUGUUGCAAGCUCUUCAUCAUCAAUCUUUCUCAGUGAAGGAUGAACCCGAGACAUUUUUCAGCAAUAGCGGGGUGGAGAGAAAGGCUGUAAAGGAACUUCUCUUAUGGGCUUAUUAUAUAUGUAGGCUUGGAAGUAUGGAGUGAGGAAGUAGUGAAGGGAUAUCACUACUUGAUGGACAAAAGAUGAGGUACCCUUUUAUGGUUAUAACACUUUUUAGAAUUAAUAUGAAUAUAUUUUUUAGCGUUACAUAGGAUUUGAACUCUGUAAUGCCAGAGCUAACAUGUCAUUAUCAUGCAGAGUAGGACAAUGCUGCAGGGAUUGAGAUUCUAGUAGUAUUUCUAAUAGGCCGAAAGGGGAAAGCAUGGUACUUUGGUAUAUUGUGAAUCCAACCACCCUCUGUUUUCAUGUUGUGGUGAACUGGAGGCUAUGUUCAUGUGAGCAGAAAAGGCAAAUGUUCAAUUAUCCUUUCCACAAAAUGGUACUUUGAUGGCUAAAUUCACUAAUCAAUACUGUAUAUAAUAUCUGGUAGUUCCAAAGGGAAUACCAGUUAAAUUUGCAAAAAAGGUGACUUAUAUUCCUUGUUAUGUUCUUAACUGCUGACAGCAUGGACACAUUUGUUCUUUUGGAAACAUGACUGAAUUUGAAACAUGUAAACUCUAAAAGUUGUUUCAUAUAAACAUAACUGACUUCAUUAACCAUUAAAAUCAUGAUUAUGUCUAAAUUCUAUUUCUUUUCUAACAGAUGAUGCUUUACAAAGUUGAUGGUAGACAUUUGCUCUUCAUUCUUGGUUAGAAAUUGUUUAAACAAAAUAUAAAUCAACAAAUAUAAUUGGUUUCAUAACAUGGCAUAUUUUGAGAGGAAUAGCAUUUAAAUUGUUCAAGUAGAAAUGUAGGUUGGUAGAAAGGUAAAUUGUGUAAAUCUAUCAAAUUCUGUAUGAUCUCUUCCAGGGCCUACAAGGUAAUUGACAGCUGCCGAGGUGGGACUAUGGGAAUUUGCAAAUGUCACAAACUUCGUUGGCUUCCAUGAAAGCAGAGGCAACUUACAGAUGACAGAUAAGACAAGCUUACAGAUCAUUAGGCUUUGUUUUCUCACAACACUUGCAUGACUGACAGAGAUGCCAUCUUAUUUGGUUGCCUCUAGAAAGUAUUUAUUAUGUAUGGCCUCCUUCCCUAGAGCUAUAAAAAGAAAAAUAUAAGUAGCUCUUGGUAAAGUUAUAUUUCUGAACAACUAAGAUUAUGCUGAUGGAGAACAGCUAAAAGAAGAGUUUGCUCAGAAUCAAGCCUCGUGGAUAUAUCUAUUUCAGAAUCAUGCUUUUAGAGUACCUCUUCUAAUGUGAUAUAAUUGUGGCAGAAGUGGUCAUUGCACCCAAUUGUAGUACAGCUUCAUUUAAUAUCAUUUUUAUCAUCCACAUGGUAUCUUUUUAAUUAAGGCCCUUAGAGAACAUUAUUUCUUGAAGUUUUUUCUCAUCCACCUGAGCUGCAUAUAUUUUAGGGGCAAUUAUAUUUGUAUGCUUUUAAAAGUGAAAAUUUCAUGUCUACUUCUGUAACUAUGCAAAUAUUCGUAUGUAUCCAUAUAAAUGGGGUAUGUAUUUGUUGUUAGAUUCCUGCAUAUAUUAAACCCAUUAUAUCUGCUUAAUUAUGAUAUGUUUAGAUUUUUUUAAUUUAAAUCUUGAAAUACCUAAAAUAACCUUGUUCCUGUGCUCUUUUACAUUUGUUUUUGGUCUUGCCCUAUCUUUUCCUUUCUUUUAUUGUCAUUAACCCAUUUUUAUCCAUCUCUGUCGUAGCUUUGCAGAAAGAAAUUUCCCAAGGAAGGAGACCAAAUAGAUACGAGAGAAGAGGAAGCAAAGGUAAGGUGGAAUGGAGAAAGAGGUAACAGGCGAUGACAUACAAGAGAAAUGAAGAUGGAACUUUACAUAUCUUCCAUAGACUUUCAUAGAGAACAAAUACAGAUUAUUUUUUUCUCAUUAAACAUGCCAAAUUACAAUUAGGAAACACAGGUGUGGUGGGAAGAUUCAAUGCCGGUUAGAAACAUUGUUUAUGUUGUUAAUGGUGAUCUAAUACUUCAAAGUGUACUAGGAUUUUUGCUGCCUGCAAUGUUGUUAGAUUGACCUUUUUCUUUAUGUAAUUUGGACUUAGCUUCAUUGGAGUUUUAGAUAAAAUUUGCCAAGUUUCUUCCAAGUUCAA